rnacentral:rRNA from 1 species
UACGUAGGUGGCAAGCGUUGUCCGGAUUUAUUGGGUUUAAAGGGUGCGUAGGCGGCCGUGCAAGUCUGGCGUGAAAGCCCCGGGCUCAGCCCGGGAAGUGCGCUCGAAACUGCGCGGCUCGAGUGCCGGAGGGGAGAGUGGAAUUCCUGGUGUAGCGGUGAAAUGCGUAGAUAUCAGGAGGAAUACCGGUGGCGAAAGCGACUCUCUGGACGGCAACUGACGCUGAGGCACGAAAGCGUGGGGAGCAAACAGG